GACGAACGCUGGCGGCGUGCUUAACACAUGCAAGUCGAACGGAAAGGCCCUGCUUUUGUGGGGUGCUCGAGUGGCGAACGGGUGAGUAACACGUGAGUAACCUGCCCUUGACUUUGGGAUAACUUCAGGAAACUGGGGCUAAUACCGGAUAGGAGCUCCUGCUGCAUGGUGGGGGUUGGAAAGUUUCGGCGGUUGGGGAUGGACUCGCGGCUUAUCAGCUUGUUGGUGGGGUAGUGGCUUACCAAGGCUUUGACGGGUAGCCGGCCUGAGAGGGUGACCGGCCACAUUGGGACUGAGAUACGGCCCAGACUCCUACGGGAGGCAGAAGUGGGGAAUAUUGCACAAUGGGCGGAAGACUGAUGCAGCAACGCCGCGUGCGGGAUGACGGCCUUCGGGUUGUAAACCGCUUUCGCCUGUGACGAAGCGUGAGUGACGGUAAUGGGUAAAGAAGCACCGGCUAACUACGUG
rnacentral:rRNA from 1 species